UGAUUAUGUCAAUGGUAACUUUUUUUGGAUCCCUUCUGAAGCUCUAAUAUAAGUCAAUUAUAUCAUCAUUUUCUUAACUGAAAUGUCAAUUUUCCUGUGAAGAUUUACGAAGAUUGCUUGGUGGUCCAUAGUUUUUUUGGGUGAAUAGUGGUUCAUAGUUAAUGCUGAUAAAGUUACAACUGACAAUCCAGUGGCGAAAAGAUAUUGGUCAAAAACAGUAUAAAUAGUACCAAGAAAUUGAGGGAAGUGUUAAAAAUAAUGAAAGAGGUCAUUCCGAGCACAUGAUUUAAAUGAGAAGCCUCCCUUAAGUUAUUAUCAACAGGAAUAUGAAAAACAGAAAAAAGGCAAGGGAAAUAACUGAAAGCAGAACCCGCAGUAAACGACUGAAAAUUUUUAAUGUUUAUUUUCUCACUAAGAAGUCCUCAAUUGGAAAAAGUUGCCAAGAAUUGAUAUAAUAUAAAACUACAUCUUCUCAAGAAGGAAAAUAAGGAUUAAGGAUGUUAGAGAUCCAGACUCUGAAGAAGAUUUCUGCAAAGAAUAUCAUUUACAAAACGAGUUUCAUUUAUUGAUAUGUGAAAAUAUUCUAUGUACAUUUUAUUUACCACUUACCUCUUCUUCUGCUAUAGGUUAACUCUGUUCCUCUGUGUGGAAUUGCUGCUUCAAUGGAUUAUCUGUACCAGUAACAUUCCUCAAGUCAAAACACUAUAUUCCAAUUUAAUUGUUUUCUCCCUCAGAAGAUCACUUCCAGGCAAAGAGAAGAGAUUGUCAACUCCUUAUUUUCCCCCCCAAGUUACAAGAAAUUUUGUAAGAAGCUUGCUCUCCUAGAAGGCUAGACUCCUCUUGAACAGUACUGAAUUUUUCACAACUCUUGAUCAACAUUAUAACUAUCAUAAAAUAAUCUUUUUAUUCUGGUUAACGGCGUAUGGGUCAGUUGACUGGGAGCAAAUAUAAAUAAACCAAGUCAACCACCUAAUUCUAAAAAAAAAAAGAAAAAAAAAAUCAAUCGCCUAAUUUAUGAACACGUCUCUCAUUCAUCCAAACUCUUGAAAGCUCUCAGAAUCUGGUGAGUAUCUCUAUUGAUUCCAGAAGUAGGGGCUAAAGCUUUGCUCCGAACUCUUGGUUCAGCUACUGAUUGCUUUCAUGUUAUUGCUUAAAUUAGACGAUCCACCUCUGGUAUACCUUAUUGCCAUGAACAAAAUACUUGCCAGAUACCUCCAAAACUAUUAAAUUUCUAAAAUUAGCAAAGUUAUAAAGUUUCCGAAUAACUCCAAAACUUUCUUGCCAUUCUCACCACAAAUCAUCAAAACCCUAAUCUUCCUCAAUGUAUAUGUAAUUGCCUAAUUUUAAUCAUAAUCCUAAAAUUACCAAGUUACAAUAUUCUCAGAACUCCAAGGGUAACUAAAAGCUGGCUUCCACCAUCCUUCAUACUAACUACUCCUGUAUACUAGGAUCAUUAUAAGAACUCUAAAACUUGCCAAUACAAGAAAAAUUAUAAAUAGGAAGGAGGUUGAAAACUUGUCUUUAAUUUUAAGUUCCAGAGUUUGUUGCAGAUUAUGAAGUUCUCUUUACCUUUUUACUGUACAAAAGAUAUAUCAAAUGUAAGACAACUAUAGAUCUGUUCGUGAACAGUAACAAGAAAAAGAUUUUGAGACUCCACCAACUUGUCGACAUGCUGAACAGUCUGGUCAGCAUUAGAAGUUGACUUAAGUUUCAAAAACUUAGUGGAGGAUAAGAUUAAUUCAAGGCAACUUGAAACACAAAGAUGAUAGAGAUAGAUAGAACAAACGGCUGAAGUCAACCCAAAUCCUCAGCAACUUCUUAUUCCAACCACUUGGGAGUUGGCGAAAGAAAAAACAAUUAGAACUAAAAGACAUGAAUUCUAAAUGUCUAAUAAAUAGAGAUCCAACAAUAACAUGUAGUUCUAAUUAGUCCCUGUAAAAGAGCUGAAACUACAAUCAUGCCACAAUUUCCUCUAGGCUCGCAUGUCAUAUGCAAAGAGAAUUGGGUAUAUGAAACCAUGUUGACAAAACCUCUGAUUGACAAGCACAACGCUAUAAUUAUCAUGACAAAGGAACUUGGUAUCUACGAAGUGAGAAAAAAAAUAUCUAAAUUAUCAGUAAUGUCAUAAGAGCCUGAGAUCAUUUCUUCAUGAAUAGAGUUAGAGAGAUUGAAAGAAAAACAAAAUAAAAUCAACCUUUUUUCCCUGAAAAUUCGAUGACGAAGUGCUGCAUUAUCCAGGGUAGGCAAGAAAAUCAUAUAAUUAUGAAAAGCACAAUUGCAGCAUUCUCCACAGAAGAUAGGAAGAAGAGCUUUAGGGGGUCAAGAUCACAAAAUAAGUAGAAGAAUUGUUCCAGAUCUAUUGACAACAACCAACAAAGGCUGAAAUUAAAGAAAACUAAAAUGUGUUGAGGCUUAUCUCCAGCUGGAACAACAUAUACAUUGUAACAGAGAAGCAGCAGGUCCCGUUUCUCAAAACAAUCACUGAGGAAGAACGUGAAGGAGAAAAGACAUAUGUUGGGGGGGGUUCGGCCAGAGAAAAGACUAAGACAGAAAGAGAAGAAAACAAAAACAGUAACCACUACCAAUUUCAGCCUCAAACCUCGAUAGGACUGUACAGUGAAGUUGUAAGAUAUUUUAUCAGAGAAAAUUUGCAGGAGCCGGAAGGAGAUAAAAGAAAAUAGUAUCUAGAAAUGCCAAGGCAGAAACAUGUGCCAAGAGAAAUAUAAAGCGUAAACAAUACAUAGGAAACAAAUCCAGUUUGGAGCACAAGAACUUACAAAAGGUCGCCAUUGCAGGCAGAACACACAUAGUUGAGAAUAAAAUCAGCAAUUCGCAGGCGGAUUCGACCUAAAACUCCUUCAUACGCACGCGAUUUGUGUCAUAUCUGAGCUGAGAAACGAGCAAAAUGUGAGAGGAAAGAGAGAAGAAGAGGUCAAAAUUUGAAGCGAAGAAGAAUAGAUAGAGAGAUAUCUCCUUCUUGCUCUGUGCGUAUGUAUCUAAACUUUCAGUCUCACUCACUCCCAAAUCACGAGUAACCUUCCUCUCUGGUGUAAUAUAACUGGUAAGCCAAUUGGUUUUUCACUUUUGCAUGUGUAGAAAGAGAAUAUAGUACUCUGAAGACUCUCUCUUCCCCCCUCGCUCCAGCCUCCGGUCAAAAUUAAAAUUGAAAGAAGAAGAAGAAGAAGAAUGAAGAAAAAAGUGUCGUGGAAGUAGUAAUUUUCUUCUGUCGAGGCACUGUCCCUGUUCAUCACCCUCGCCAUUAUUAUUACGUUUUUCUCUUACGAAUUUUUUAUCUGUAAAAAUUUUUAAUUUUCUCAAAAGUUAGAUUUUACUGCCAGUCAAUUCAUAUAUAUACAUACAUAUAUAUUAAAUAAGAAUUUUUAUAUUAAUUCUGAUUCAAAAUUUAAUUUUAAAAGAAAAAUAAAAUACAAUGAAACAGAAUUAUAAAAAGUAAAAUUAAUUUCGAAGAAAAUAAUAUUAUUAUGAUGGGGUCAGUCAAGUUGAAAUUUACAAAGUAUAUUUGGGAAUGAAAGAAGAGUUUGUAAUAAGGCCAAAGGAUGCACGUGUACACCUGCGCUCUCACUAUACAUUUAACCAUAUAAUAUAAUAUAAUAUAAGAUAAUAUAUAUAUAUAUAUGUAUGUAUGUAUGUAUUCCCAGAAUGUUAAUGCAA
rnacentral:lncRNA from 1 species